AGAAAUGGAAGAGAAAAAGGGAAAAAAAAAAAAGAUAGGAUAAGAAGUGAAAUGAAAAAGAAGAAGAAGAAGGGGAGGAGAGAGAAGACAAGGGAGAGGUAAGGAGGGCAGAAAGGCCAACAGCGUUCACACCAGUUCGCAAGAGUUAGGUGCGACGUUCUUGGUAUGCCCCUUUAUCCUAAGUCUCGAACACUGCUAGAUCUCAAAUCCAAUUUCUAUCAUGAAGCCCCUCAGAAAAAAAAAAAAGAGUGCAAUUGAGAUUAGUUUAGUACUCCCAGUAUAUAUGUUUGACAAACGAUAGAAGAACAAGACCCAAUUCACCCAAUUCCUACCUUCUAUUCGUCCCCGAUCCACUCUCUCAUUCUCAUUUUGUAUGAAGUUAUGAACAACAUAAUAUCAUACGCAGAAGCAAAAAAAUUCCACCAAACUGUUAAUCAUCUAAGGGCACGUUUGAUUCAAAAGAAAGUGCUUUCCUUCGCCCAUGAGAAAGUUUGGUUACUGAAAGUUUCGAUCGCCCUGAAGUGCUUCAAAUGGAUGUCUUAAAAUACGCUGUCCCCAGAGAGGUGAAGAAAGUACUUUCCCGGCAACUAGAGUAAUUACUAAUUUUCCAAGAAAACAAAAAUACCAUAAAAGGUCACAAACUUUGCAAUUAAGAUCUUUCCUGCUAAACAAACACGCUCCUAGUUACUACAUAUGAAAUUGAGGAGUUCAAAGCUGCCUCAUUUAUUGAGGAACAUCGGCUUCUUCUGGAUGAGAUGAGUUAGUUCGAUUAUUUCUAGAAAAUAGUAGGCACUCCUCUUUUUUCAAGCAUAAAUCAGCUUAUGUCAUUUUGAUAUGAUUUUGCGUAUAUCUAUAUUAUGAUCAUUUAUUUUUGUUACAAGGAGAUCACAAUGACUCCUAGCCAUUAAAUGUCAAAUUGGAUGGCUUGGUAUAUGUCACAAAGUUUGAGAAAAUAUUUUCAAUCUUUGAGUCUAGUUAAUGACACUUUUAAAACAACCCAACUUGAAAUCUAUUGGAUGAAAGUGAUUGUGAUCUCUUUGUACCAAAAAUAAAUUGUCUCUUUAUAUAUUUUUUUAUUUAUAUAUGUUUUCUUUAAAAGAAAAUCUUUUUGUCCGAUUAUUUCCCUUUCUUACUUUACAAUGUCCUACUACAUAUGCAAUCCAAUUGAAUGGUCUCAACUUUGCUCUUAAAUAUUCAAAUAUUUCCAGCAAUCGGAAGAUACCAACAAUUCUUUACCAGCUUUGAUCAAUUGUUUUUUAUCAAUACUAUAAGCACCGAGUAUGCGAUUUGACCUCUAUUCAAGCAAUCAUGCAAUUUACAAAUCAUUAUAUGCAUUUAGCAUUUAGAAAAGAAGAAUAAAAAUAAAACAGGUUUCUGAUAAGCUAAACCCACAUUGGUUCUUCAUCCUUCUAAGUCCAUAAUUGAGGGAUCAGAUCCACAAGAGCCAAGCUUGAGUGGAAACACAGCACCAGUUGAGCCAUUUCGCUCCGAACCCAGGAAAGAGACACAGAGCAUGGUCGGCGUACCCAAAAGAACCAACCCGAUUGGCACCAUCCACAGGUCAGACUCACUUGGAUCGCAUUUGAUUACCCACCAAGCCAUCACCACACCUCCGAUGACGAACACCACAAACAAGAAUGUCCAAGCCACUACAACCUCAACAAGGCUUGGUUUUUGAGCAUAUGUACAUUGCUCUUGCACCAUGGGAAGACUGUAAGAAGAUGCAAGGUGUUAUAGGAGAUUUUUUAGGGUUUUGAUGGAUAUGGGGUUGAGGGUUCAGGGAGGUUGGAAGGCAUGAGCAGGAGGUGAGGAGUGAGGGUGACUUGCCCUACGAUGGUGGAGAUUAUAAGAGCAAAGCUUUCAUGAUCUUAUGUGCUUCAGAAU
rnacentral:lncRNA from 1 species